CCUACGGGAGGCAGCAGUGAGGAAUAUUGGUCAAUGGACGAGAGUCUGAACCAGCCAAGUAGCGUGAAGGAUGACUGCCCUAUGGGUUGUAAACUUCUUUUAUAUGGGAAUAAAAUGUUCCACGUGUGGGAUUUUGUAUGUACCAUAUGAAUAAGGAUCAGCUAACUCCGUGCCAGCAGCCGCGGUAACACGGAGGAUCCGAGCGUUAUCCGGAUUUAUUGGGUUUAAAGGGAGCGUAGGUGGAUUGUUAAGUCAGUUGUGAAAGUUUGCGGCUCAACCGUAAAAUUGCAGUUGAAACUGGCAGUCUUGAGUACAGUAGAGGUGGGCGGAAUUCGUGGUGUAGCGGUGAAAUGCUUAGAUAUCACGAAGAACUCCGAUUGCGAAGGCAGUUCACUGGACUGCAACUGACACUGAGGCUCGAAAGUGUGGGUAUCAAACAGGAUUAGAUACCCGUGUAGUC
rnacentral:rRNA from 1 species